AGGAGGUUCCUGGAUUUUUCCAGUGUCUGAUCUACUGCAAUUUCCAGCUGUCUCUCAGUUUUGAUAUGUUUCCUAGUGUAACAACCUAGGAGCUACUCAUUUCCUGGAAAGAAGACACCCAAAGGGAGCUUGAAAACAAUGCCAGAAGAUGGGAGACUAGUUAUGUGCCUUUGUUAUUUUGAGAGGAAAUCCUACUGCCACCCACAGAUGUUUUAUUUGCUAUCAGUAUCCAGUAAGAUGUUCAGUGGUAAGAAAUCCUCAGUGGCAAGAGCAACUGAAUCAGAGGACUCUAGCAAGCAGCAUUCUGCAGUCAGAAAUGGCCCAGCAGAGCCCUGCUGUGCUUGGAGGAAUUUGCCUUUAUUCCAGUUUAACAAUGAGCCAGACAGGAGAUAUUUGAAGCAAUAAAGCGAGGAACAGAUGGGUGAGCCAAA